rnacentral:rRNA from 1 species
AUUGAACGCUGGCGGCAUGCCUUACACAUGCAAGUCGAACGGUAACAGGUUAAGCUGACGAGUGGCGAACGGGUGAGUAAUAUAUCGGAACGUGCCCAAUCGUGGGGGAUAACGCAGCGAAAGUUGUGCUAAUACCGCAUAAGAUCUACGGAUGAAAGCGGGGGAUCGCAAGACCUCGCGCGAGUGGAGCGGCCGAUAUCAGAUUAGCUAGUUGGUGGGGUAAAGGCCCACCAAGGCGACGAUCUGUAGCUGGUCUGAGAGGACGACCAGCCACACUGGGACUGAGACACGGCCCAGACUCCUACGGGAGGCAGCAGUGGGGAAUUUUGGACAAUGGGGGAAACCCUGAUCCAGCAAUGCCGCGUGUGUGACGAAGGCCUUCGGGUUGUAAAGCACUUUUGGCGGGAACGAAACGGCGCGUUUCUAAUACAGAGCGGCUAAUGACGGUACCCGCCAGAAUAAGCACCGGCUAACUAACGUGCCAGCAGCCGCGGUAAAAGUAA